GCGCACGUGGCGAAAUUGGUAGACGCACUGUCUUCAGGAGGCAGCGCCCUCUGGGUGUGGAAGUUCGAGUCUUCUCGUGCGCA
rnacentral:tRNA from 3 species